rnacentral:rRNA from 1 species
AUUGAACGCUGGCGGCAGGCCUAACACAUGCAAGUCGAGCGGAUGAAGGGAGCUUGCUCCUGGAUUCAGCGGCGGACGGGUGAGUAAUGCCUAGGAAUCUGCCUGGUAGUGGGGGAUAACGUCCGGAAACGGGCGCUAAUACCGCAUACGUCCUGAGGGAGAAAGUGGGGGAUCUUCGGACCUCACGCUACCAGAUGAGCCUAGGUCGGAUUAGCUAGUUGGUGGGGUAAAGGCCUACCAAGGCGACGAUUCGUAACUGGUCUGAGAGGAUGAUCAGUCACAAUGGAACUGAGACACGGUCCAGACUCCUACGGGAGGCAGCAGUGGGGAAUAUUGGACAAUGGGCGAAAGCCUGAUCCAGCCAUGCCGCGUGUGUGAAGAAGGUCUUCGGAUUGUAAAGCACUUUAAGUUGGGAGGAAGGGCAGUAAGUUAAUACCUUGCUGUUUUGACGUUACCAACAGAAUAAGCACCGGCUAACUUCGU